ACUUCAUCUUCUUCCUUUCUCUUUUUCGUUCUUCUUUUCUGCGACGGCAAGUUCCUUCCAGUUUCUCUGUCUCCGUCGAUUUCUCCAUAAAUCAGGUAAGUUUCAUUGCUCUAUUCGAAAUAGAUAGACAAGAAAGGAUUUACAUUGCAAUUUCAGAAAUUGGAAAAGGGAAUUUGCGAUUGCUACAGUCUACCCCAUUUUUGGGUAGCACUACUCAAAAACGCAAAACAAGGACGAUUUGGGAUGAGUUUUGGUGUAUGGUUGGAGGUAUUUUCACUGCAAAAUUGGGUUUUAGGGUAUGGUUGGAGAUGCUGGAAAAAAUCGGAAUCGAAAUUUAUUUCUGAAUUCCUCAUCGUCUACAAGUUAUAACCUUCAAUGGCAACUGAAAAGACUUCAACCGAGAACCCCCCAUCCAUAGCUUCUACGCCAGCUGGAGCUUCAUGUCGGAAGAAGAAGAGUGAAAGUGCAACAUUCCUAGAGGAUGUGAAAGAUCACAUUGAUGAAUUUAUCCAUGCUUCUAUGGACGAACACAAAACUUGUUUCCAAAAGACAAUCAAGAAGAUAGCUUAACGUCUUGGUCUAGCAUUUAGAUUCAGGGAAUUUUGGUUUCUCUUCUCGUUAUAAUAUCUGUUUGGCACUCUUGAUGGUCUUUUAGAUGUUCGGGAUGUCAAAAGCUGUUGCAGAGAAGAACUCUGAGGCCAAGGAAAUUGAAAGUUCUUUGCCUCUUCGAACAACUGUUGCUGAGUAAGGUGUAUUCUGCCCUGCCUUGACAUGAACUUAAUAGAAUAGUAUAUUUAGUUGUUGUCACCAGUUUUAGAUAUGUGGAUUAAGUCAUCUUUGAGACUGUUACUUGGGAGUUAUUAACUUGAUGUGAAUCUUGUACUACUUGGCAACCUUGGGCCCAGACAAUUCAACAAUAUUCACAGCAUCUUGUUAGUA